rnacentral:lncRNA from 1 species
CCCAGGACCAGAUGGAUUCACAGCCAAAUUCUACCAGAGGUGAAAAGAGGAGCUGGUACCUCCUCUUUGUUCCUUCUGAAACUAUUCCAAACAAUUGAAAAAGAAGGGACUCCUCCCUAACUCAUUUUAUGAAGCCAGCAUCCUCCUGGUACCAAAACCUGGCAGAGACAUAACAAAAUAAGAAAUCUGCCAGAGACACAACAAAAUAAGAAAACUUCAGGCCAGUAUCUCUGAUGGACAUUGAUGCAAAAAUCCUCAAUAAAAUACUGGCAAACCAAAUUCAGCAUCACAUCAAAAAGCUUAUCCACCACGAUCAAGUCGGCUUCAUCCCUGGGAUGAAAGGCUGUUUCAACAUAUGAAAUUAAAUAAACAUAAUUCAUCACAUACACAGAACCAAAGACAAAAAGCACAUGAUUAUCUCAACAGAUGCAGAAAAGGCCUUUGAUAAAAUUCAGCAUUCCUUCAUGUUAAAAAUUCUCAAUAAACUGGGUAUUGAUAGAACAUAUCUCAAAAUAAUAAGAGCUAUUUAUGACAAACCCAUGGUCAAUAUCCUAUUGAAUAGGCAAAAGCUGGAAGCAUUCCCCUUGAAAACCUGUACAAGAUAAGGGUGCCCUUUCUCACCACUCUUAUUCAACAUAGUAUUGGAGGUCCUGGCCAGGGCAAUCAGGCAAGAGAAAGAAAUAAAGCGUAUUCAAAUAGGAAGAGAGGAAGUCAAAUUGUCUCUGUUUGCAGACGACAUGCUUCUACAUUUAGUAAACUCCAUCAUCUCAGCCCAAAAACUCUUUAAGCUGAUAAGCAACUUCAGCAAAGUCUCAAGAUACAAAAUCAAUGUGCAAAAAUCACAAGUAUUCCUUUCUACCAACAAUAGACAAGCAGAGAGCCAAAUCAUAAAUGAACUCCCAUUCACAAUUGCUGCAAGAAUAAAAUACCUAGGAAUACAGUUAACAAGGGAUGUGAAGGACCUAUUCUAGGAGAACUACAAACCACUGCUCAAGGAAAUAAAACAAGACACAAAUGGAAAAACAUUCCAUCCUCAUGAAUAGGAAGAAUCAAUACAAUGAAAAUGGCCAACUGCCUAAAGUAAUUUAUAGAUUCAAUGCUAUUCCCAUAAAAAUACCAUUGACAUUGUUCACAGAACUAGACAUAACUACUUUAAAUUUCAUGUGGAACCAAAGAAGAGCCCAUAUAGCCAAGAUAGAUAAUCUUAAACAAGAAGAACAAAGCUGGAUGCAUCAUGCUACCUGACUUCAAACUAUACCACAAGGCUUCAGUAACCAAAACAGCAUGGUACUGGUACCAGAACAGACAUAUAGACCAAUGGAACAGAACAGGGACCUCAGAAACAACACCACACACCUAAACCAUUUAAUCUUCAACAAAUCUGACAAAAACAAGCAAUGGGAAAAGGAUCUCCUAUUUAAUAAAUGGUAGUGGUAAAACAGGCUAGCCAUAUGCAGAAAACUGAAACUGGAACCCUUCUUUAUACCUUAUAUAAAAAUUAACUCAAGAUCUAUUGAAGACUUAAAUGUAAAACCCAAACCCAUAAAAACCCUAGAGGAAAACCCAGACAAUACCAUUCAGCACAUAGGUAUGGGAAAAGACUUCAUGACAAAAAUACCAAAAGCAAUUGAAGCAAAAGCCAAAAUUGACAAAUGGGAUCUAAUUAAACUAAAGAACUUCUGCACAGCAAAAGAAACUAUCAUCAGAGUACAGGCAACCUACAGAAUGGGAGAAAAUUUUUCCAAUCUACCCGUCUGACAAAGGUCUAAUAUCCAAAAUCUACAAGGAACUUAAACAAAUUUACAAGAAAGAAACAUGCAACCCCAUGAAAAAGUGGGCAAAGGAUAUAAACAGACACAUCUCAAAAUAAGACAUUUAUGUGGCCAAGAAACAUAUGAAAAAUAAAAGCUCAACAUCACUGAUCAUUAGAGAAAUGCAAAUCAAAACCACAAUGAAAUUCCAUCUCAUGCCAGCUAGUACAAAUUGCUCAUAUUUUAAAAGUAACCAGUAUCAAAUUGGAAAGGAUUUGAUUUAGGAGCCAAACCAAGGCUAUCAUAGUGGAAAAAAAAAAAAAAAGAAAAAAAAAGACAGAACCUUAACAAUGGAUCUGCAGUGUGGGGCAACAGCCAUUGCUCUUACCAUUCGGCUUGGCUAGCAAAAUGUGGCCCUGUUAGACAAAUAAAGUCCCUUUUUUAGUCAAAAGAAAAAAAUCUCUCCCCUUUUUAUUUUGUGGGAAUUUAGACACUUCAGAGGCCUUGUUCCCAUAAAUUGGAACUUUCCUUCAGAUUUCAUCAUGUCAGAUAGAGUUGAUCAAACCCAGUAGGAAAAAGACUGAAACAAUAACAAAAACAGAAACAAUUACAAAGGCAACAACAACAACAAAAAAAAACAAUUAAGCAAAACAAAUGAAUAUUACAAUUUAUAUGAAUACUGAGCACUCUAAUGGUAAAGAUAAAUUAACACCAGCUGAUUUUUAAUCUUAACUUUAGCCCACAAAAAAACAAACAAAAAAUAAAAAUAAAAAAAAAACAAUUCAGCUACUUACCUAGGAAUGGGUCUUAGGCUGAAGACUGCUAUCUACCAUCCUAGAAGCAGGAAAAAACUCAGACUUGCCUUCCCUUUUGGAAGUUUGCUCAAACUCCAGAAAGGACUUACCUUCCUUCCAACAUCAUGGAAGCAGGAAAACUUGCCUUCCCUGUAAGAAGCAAGUGAAACUCCAAAAGGAGGAGUUGUACAGCAAAAUAAGCUUUAGAUCUUAACCAAAUUUGGGGAGAUCAGGGAUUUUCUGGAGGGGGAGCUUACAGGCCUCAGCAAAUUGCCCUAUUGGUUUGAGCCAUAAAAAAGCUCAAGCUGGUACCAAGCACCUAUAGGAGAUUCGUCAAAGUCAGGGGCACCUCCCCUCAGAAUCCCUCUGUGGUUACUGAUUGUGAAUGCAAAAUAUCUGACACAGGUCUCAGUCAAUUUAGAAAGUUUAUUUUGCCAAGGUCAAAAAUACACCUGUGAUAUAGUAUACUAAAAACAAUACUGCAUCUCUGGAGAUAUUUUGAAGGAAUCAUAUCAAUCAUGUUGAUAUGUUACUCUAGCUCAUCUACCAAAUGACACGAGAAGCUGAUAGUUUUGAGUAGGGCCCAAGAAGUCACUGCAACAGGUCUGGGCUGCUGUGCAAGCUACUCUGCCACUUGAGUCAUAUGAUCUAGCACAUCCAAUAAUCCUUAAAGUUUCGUUGGCAGAUAGGGAUGCCAUUUGAAAUCUUUGGCAGAUACCUAUAGUUGCCUCAUAGUACAUACCCUUAGGAUUUUCAGCAAAGCCAUGCCAUCCUCUGUGGAUAUCUACUCCUCUUUUGAAAAAAAAAAAAAAACAGCUAUUUUUGACAGGGUGCAGUGGCACACACCUGUAAUCCAAGUAGUUUGGGAGGCUGAGGUGGGCAGAUCACUUGAGCCCAGGAGUUCAAAACCAGCCUGGGCAAUAUGGCAAAACCCCAACUCUACAAAAAGUUCAAACAUUAGCAGGGCAUGGUGGCAUGUGCUUGUAGCCCCAGCUACUCAGGGAGCUGAGGCAGGAGGAUGGUUUGAGUCCAGGAGACUGCAGUGAGCCAGGAUUGUGCCACUGCACUCCAUCCUGGGUGACAGAGCGAGAGCUUGAAAAAAAGAAAAAGAAAAAAAAAGAAGAACGAGAAAGAAAAGGGGAAAGGAAAGAAGAAAGGAAAGAAAGGAAAGGAAAGGAGAAAGGAGAAAAAGGAGAAAGGAGAGGAGAAAAACAGCAAUUUUUCUGAUACUAGGCUUUAGUAGAAGCUGAAGGCUUAUACCAUGGGCCAUCAGGUUACCAUGGGACUUGAGCUUCCCACAAUAUAGAGGGCAUUACAGGGCCAGACGCAGUGGCUCACGCCUGUAAUCCCAGCAAUUUGGGAGGCCUAGGUGGGCGGAUCACCUGAGGUCAGGAGUUCGAGACCAGCCUGGCCAACAUGGUGAAACCCCGUCUCUACUAAACAUACAAAAAAUUUAGCUGGGCAUGGUGGUGUGUGCCUGUAGUCCCGGCUACUCAGGAGGCUGAGGAAAAUCACUUGAACUCAGGAGGGGGAAGGGCAGAGUACGAUGGCAGAAGAGAAGCCUACACUGUUCAUCCCCACUCCCCCACCGCACUGGAACACCAAAUUUUAACAACCAUUUGCACACAGAAAAGCACCAUCACACCGUCACAACAAACAAAAAUCAAGAAUGUUUCUGGAUCUUAUCCAAUAACACCAAGGUGAUACCUCUACAGGUCUGCAAAAACUACAGCAUUAUUGAGCUUGGGGCCCAAGUCCCUUCAAAUACCUGGAAAGCCUUCCCAAGAAGGACGGGAACAAAAAAGGCCAGACAUUGAAGACUACAAAAAAUAUCUAACUCUUUAAAGCCCAGACACAGACUAACAGCUACAAGCAUCAACAUUUUCUAGGAAAACACGACCUCACCAAAUAAACUAAAUAAGACACCAGGAACCAAUCCUGGAGAAACAGAGAUAUAUGAUCUUUCAGAUAGAGAAUUAAAAAUAGCUGUUUUGAGGAAACUCGAAGAAAUUCAAAAUUCUAUCAGCUAAAUUUAACAAAAAGAUGGAAAUAAGAAUCAAGAAGAAAUUCUAGAGUUGAAAACUGCUACUGACAUGCUGAAGAA